UUUCUACUAUAUAUAGGACCUCUACAUGUACAAACUAAUCUACUUGUAGCAAAUUUGAAAGUAUUAUAGCUUUACAAUGGGGAAAUAAUUCUCAGCUUUAUUAUCAGCACAAUCCACAUCAGUGUAUGACUACGUUUACAUGGACAGCAGUAAUCUAUUUAUUGACCUUAUUCUGAAUAAGACAGUAUUCUGAUUAAGGUGUUUACAUGAGUCGCUUUUAGAAUACUCCUUUCGUGUUCCCGUUUUACGUGUUAUAGAACAUAGAUCGAUUAAUGGCACGCGUCAUUACGUCCCCACGCCACACCGUCAGACGUUCCCUCCAGAAUUUCACGUAUAUAUAAUUCGUCUUCGUUAUGGUACCAUAUACAGUUUUGGGUGUUUUUAUUUAAAAUUUUUACGAACGCUUCAAGUGCAGUUAAUUAUUUGUCCUGCUGUACGUGCAAAUAGACGACUGCUUGAAGCCGUGGGCUGCGUCCCAAAUUAGCUGAGAUACAUGUGUUCCAUCUAUUAUCUAGUAAGUACGCGGUUUCGGACGCAGCCGUGCUCUUUUGUUUGCCGUCAAACGGUUGAGCGCUGCCGUGUGUGUACGUGUCCUGUCGCAAAAUGCGGUGAAAACUCCCACACAACUUUAAUAGUGUGAUUAAGGUGUGUACAUGUCUGUAAUACACGUGGAUAAUGCGACUAAAACAGGAAUACUCCACACGUCUUAAUUCCAUUUAUGUUUACUUUGAGUAUGACCUUAAUCGGAUUAAGAUAAUAAAAAAUGGCUGUUUACAUGCUAGUUUCUUCAUCAGAGUAUCGUCUUAAUCGGGUUAAUAUCGGAUUAUUGGUGUCCAUGUAAACAUACUGUAUGUCUCAUCAUGAGGUAAAAGUCACUCACGACAUUUAAACAUGAGCCUUAUCUUCUCUUCAUUCCACUGAACACUGUUUACACUAACAUUAAUGGGGAAAUGAUCUCUGGUUCAUUCAGUCAGUUCUGUUAUGUUAUUUAUCCACCCAUCCAUUUUGUGCUAACCAAUAAGCCACCGUGCCCCUGUUCUGUUAUUUAUAUCCGAUUACAAAAUGAAUUGACUAGGCUAUAUUAAUUUUGCUAUAGCAUUUGAUCACACCUGGACAUUUAGCGAGUGACCUCACACCUAGCUACCAAGGUUUUAGACAUAUUUAUACAAACUGACUGUUCUUUGCAGGCAGACAUCAAAGGCAAGGUUUUACAGCAGACUAAAUACCAAAACAUUUCCACAUUGUUUUGGUUGAAUAUAUUUAUGCUUUCUUAAAGUAGAGAGGUCAUUUGUAUAGUAUUGACAAAUGUACAAACAACUACAUUUCGAUCUUUGUUUGGUGUUUUCCAUACCAGAAUUCAGGCCACAGCGACAUCUGACAUGGGUGAGAUGAUGAUAUGCGAGAGUGAACUUUAGACCUUUUUUUUUUUUUUUUUUCAUAGCUGCUUACUCCGACCCUCUCCUCUCUUUUGAAAAACACACACACAUGUACACUUUCUAGUAUUUCAUGCAUAACUCAUGUGGCACACAGUGGUGACACUAAGACCUCUAGUUGGAGUACGGAUGGAUUAAGUGUCCAUGCUGAGACACUGGACUCAAUAGCACUGGGUCCAUCCCUACGCAUGCGGUACUAAGACCACUUCAAAUGUCAAACAUGUCACUGUGUAAACUCUCUCCGAUUGGUUGUUCAGAAUAGUCACGGUGACCCGCCUCUUUCUUUGAAGUCACAGGAAAUUUGUUGCAAAGUGCCAAGGUUUUGAUGUCAGUCUCACUUCUACUCGUUUCAUUCUCUCUCUCUCUCUCUGUGUAAAUCUGAGGUUCUGGUGACUGCUGGAUUCUGACACGCCACUGUACACCUCAGCAGUGUAUUUGAUCAUUAAUUUAUCACAGUUCCAGCAGUUUGUUUGACAGCUCGGGGAUCUAGGCCUACUGAGGCACUUUUCAAGACAGGAACUUCCAGGACUAUUUUGGCAUCAAAGCUUAGCGGGUGUGAGGGCCUGACUCUCUGAAGUCAACUUGUGAAGGAGGGGAGGAGAGACGGAAAGAGGGGGUAAAAAGAGGAGCAAGGCCGAUUGUGUGCUCUGUGUCUACAGGGAGCAGUUGAGAUGGAGAGAGCAAGGGCUGCUCUGGGGGAAAUUGGGGGCUGGAGAGAGGCUCUAUCUGGGCCUUCGGAAUAAAAUCCUCCCCUGGUACUCAGGUCCUGAGCUUCACUUAGUGUUUACUGCAUGUAGUACGAGUCUGUGCAUUUCAGAAGUUUCACCUGCUGCCUCUCAGGAUGAGAAGCUGUUGCUUGGUUUGGUGUUUACAUCAUUUUGAACAGGACAGUUUUUUGGGUUUUUUUUUUUUUUGGUUUUGUUUUCAGAAGCACAUGAUUUCAAAGAAGCAAAACUGCAACCUCCAAAACAUACCAGUUCACUGUGAUUGCUCUUAGUAAAGUCAACAAGCUGAA